UACGUAGGGUGCAAGCGUUGUCCGGAAUUAUUGGGCGUAAAGAGCUCGUAGGCGGCUUGUCGCGUCGACUGUGAAAUCCCGCGGCUCAACUGCGGGUCUGCAGUCGAUACGGGCAGGCUAGAGUUCGGUAGGGGAGACUGGAAUUCCUGGCGUAGCGGUGAAAUGCGCAGAUAUCAGGAGGAACACCGGUGGCGAAGGCAGAUCUCUGGGCCGUAACUGACGCUGAGGAGCGAAAGCAUGGGGGAGCGAACAGG
rnacentral:rRNA from 1 species